rnacentral:rRNA from 1 species
AGCUUGCUGUUUCGCUGACGAGUGGCGGACGGGUGAGUAAUGUCUGGGAAACUGCCUGAUGGAGGGGGAUAACUACUGGAAACGGUAGCUAAUACCGCAUAACGUCGCAAGACCAAAGAGGGGGACCCUCGGGCCUCUUGCCAUCGGAUGUGCCCAGAUGGGAUUAGCUUGUUGGUGGGGUAACGGCUCACCAAGGCGACGAUCCCUAGCUGGUCUGAGAGGAUGACCAGCCACACUGGAACUGAGACACGGUCC